UACGGAGGGGGCGAGCGUUAUUCGGAAUUAUUGGGCGUAAAGGGCGCGUAGGCGGCCCGGUAAGUCAAAGGUGAAAUCCCUCGGCUCAACUGAGGAACUGCCUUUGAAACUGUCGGGCUUGAGGCCGGGAGGGGGUAGCGGAAUUCCCAGUGUAGCGGUGAAAUGCGCAGAUAUCGGGAAGAACACCCGUGGCGAAGGCGGUUCUCUGGGACGGUACUGACGCUGAGACGCGAAAGCGUGGGGAGCGAACAGG
rnacentral:rRNA from 1 species